rnacentral:rRNA from 1 species
GAUGAACGCUGACAGAAUGCUUAACACAUGCAAGUCGAUGGGGAAGUGGUGCUUGCACCAUGGUAACCAUGGCGGACGGGUGAGUAACGCGUAAGGAACUUGCCUGCGGGACUGGGAUAACAGCAGGAAACUGCUGAUAAUACCGGAUAAGGUCAUUAAGCUGCAUAGCUUAGUGAUGAAAGGAGACGCCUGCGGAGAGCCUUGCGUCCUAUUAGCUAGUUGGAGGGGUAACGGCCCACCAAGGCGAAGAUAGGUAGCCGGCCUGAGAGGGUGGACGGCCACAAGGGGACUGAGAUACGGCCCUUACUCCUACGGGAGGCAGCAGUGGGGAAUAUUGGACAAUGGGGGCAACCCUGAUCCAGCAAUUCUGUGUGCACGAAGACGGUUUUCGGAUUGUAAAGUGCUUUCAGCAGGGAAGAAGGAAGUGACGGUACCUGCAGAAGAAGCGACGGCUAAAUACGG